UACGUAGGGCGCAAGCGUUUAUCCGGAAUUAUUGGGCGUAAAGAGCUCGUAGGCGGUUUGUCGCGUCUGCUGUGAAAGACCGGGGCUCAACUCCGGUUCUGCAGUGGGUACGGGCAGACUAGAGUGCAGUAGGGGGAGACUGGAAUUCCUGGUGUAGCGGUGAAAUGCGCAGAUAUCAGGAGGAACACCGAUGGCGAAGGCAGGGUCUCUGGGCUGUAACUGACGCUGGAGGAGCGAAAGCAUGGGGAGCGAACAGG
rnacentral:rRNA from 1 species